UGGGGAAUAUUGCACAAUGGGCGAAAGCCUGAUGCAGCAACGCCGCGUGAGUGAUGAAGGCCUUCGGGUUGUAAAGCUCUGUCUUUUGGGACGAUAAUGACGGUACCAAAGGAGGAAGCCACGGCUAACUACGUGCCAGCAGCCGCGGUAAUACGUAGGUGGCAAGCGUUGUCCGGAUUUACUGGGCGUAAAGGAUGCGUAGGCGGAUUUUUAAGUGAGAUGUGAAAACCCUAAGCUUAACUUGGGGACUGCAUUUCGUACUGGAAAUCUAGAGUGCGGGAGAGGAGAAUGGAAUUCCUAGUGUAGCGGUGAAAUGCGUAGAGAUUAGGAAGAACACCAGUGGCGAAGGCGAUUCUCUGGACCGUAACUGACGCUGAGGCAUGAAAGCGUGGGUAGCAAACAGGAUUAGAUACCCUGGUAGUCCAUGCCGUAAACGAUGAGUACUAGGUGUAGGAGGUAUCGACCCCUUCUGUGCCGCAGUUAACACAAUAAGUACUCCGCCUGGGAAGUACGAUCGCAAGAUUAAAAACUC
rnacentral:rRNA from 1 species